AGCGAACGCUGGCGGCAGGCCUAACACAUGCAAGUCGAACGAAGUCUUCGGACUUAGUGGCGGACGGGUGAGUAACACGUGGGAACGUGCCUUUAGGUUCGGAAUAACUCAGGGAAACUUGUGCUAAUACCGAAUGUGCCCUUCGGGGGAAAGAUUUAUCGCCUUUAGAGCGGCCCGCGUCUGAUUAGCUAGUUGGUGAGGUAAAGGCUCACCAAGGCGACGAUCAGUAGCCGGUCUGAGAGGAUGAUCAGCCACAUUGGGACUGAGACGCGGCCCAAACUCCUACGGGAGGCAGCAGUGGGGAAUCUUGCGCAAUGGGCGAAAGCCUGACGCAGCCAUGCCGCGUGAAUGAUGAAGGUCUUAGGGUUGUAAAAUUCUUUCACCGGGGAAGAUAAUGACGGUACCCGGAGAAGAAGCCCCGGCUAACUUCGUGCCAGCCGCCGCUGUAAAAC
rnacentral:rRNA from 1 species